AAUUGUUGUGUUUUGAUUGCAGUUUCGUUACCCGGUUUGCUUUGGCACAUAGAGUGCUUACAGAUCAAGCCCUCUAUUUGGCUGCUUUGAGACAACGGCAUGUUCUGCAGCUCGGGGAGUCGUCGGCGGCGGCAGAUGGGUCCUGCACCUUCAAGUUUAAAUAUUUCCUUAUGAUGCAGUGAGAUAAUAUGCCAGCUAAAGCAAUGGCAACUCCAGGAAAAUCGUGUGUUUGCUGCUGCUAAUAAAAUGCAGAUCCAAUUAGUGUCCGUCG